rnacentral:rRNA from 1 species
CUUGAAACCAAGAGCGACGGGCGAUAAGUGCAUUUUUAAUGUAGCUUUAAAAAUAGAAUUAACCUUAAAUAAUUUUAAUCUUAAGUCCACCGCAGGCUUGUUUUAAAAGAAACUUAGAGUCCAAAGCAAUGUGUUACACUACUCACCAGAAGAACCUUCACCUUUAUUUGUAAAAUCGCCAAAAGCUGCUGCAAAAAUUUUGUCUGAAGUAUUUUUUUACAAUGGUAUAAAAAGAAAAUUUGGUGAAAAAGAGCGUGGGUUAUCGAUUACGGAGCAUAACCCCCUAAAUUUUUUAAAAACCGCCGAUUAAAUUAGCUUUUUAUUUUAAGAAUAAUCGCCGCAAUUGGAAUAAAG